rnacentral:rRNA from 1 species
GACGAACGCUGGCGGCGUGCUUAACACAUGCAAGUCGAACGGAAAGGCCCUGCUUUUGUGGGGUGCUCGAGUGGCGAACGGGUGAGUAACACGUGAGUAACCUGCCCUUGACUUUGGGAUAACUUCAGGAAACUGGGGCUAAUACCGGAUAGGAGCUCCUGCUGCAUGGUGGGGGUUGGAAAGUUUCGGCGGUUGGGGAUGGACUCGCGGCUUUUCAGCUUGUUGGUGGGGUAGUGGCUUACCAAGGCUUUGACGGGUAGCCGGCCUGAGAGGGUGACCGGCCACAUUGGGACUGAGAUACGGCUCAGACUCCUACGGGAGGCAGCAGUGGGGAAUAUUGCACAAUGGGCGGAAGCCUGAUGCAGCAACGCCGCGUGCGGGAUGACGGCCUUCGGGUUGUAAACCGCUUUCGCCUGUGACGAAGCGUGAGUGACGGUAAUGGGUAAAGAAGCACCGGCUAACUACGUG